rnacentral:tRNA from 1 species
ACUAUUUUGGCAGAUAUAAUUGUGUUAAAUUUAGAAUUUAAUUAUAUAAUUUUAAUUAUAAAUAAUU